ensembl:snRNA U6 U6 spliceosomal RNA
AUGCUCACUUUGGCAGCACAUAUACUAAAACUAGAACUAUACAGAGAAGAUUAGCAUGACACCUGUACAAGAAUGAUCUGCAAAUUCAUGACAGAUUCCAUAUUUCA